rnacentral:rRNA from 1 species
UACGUAGGGCGCAAGCGUUGUCCGGAAUUAUUGGGCGUAAAGAGCUCGUAGGCGGUCCGUCACGUCUGCCGUGAAAACCCGAGGCUUAACCUCGGGCCUGCGGUGGAUACGGGCGAACUAGAGGUAGGUAGGGGAGAACGGAAUUCCCGGUGUAGCGGUGAAAUGCGCAGAUAUCGGGAGGAACACCGGUGACGAAGGCGGUUCUCUGGGCCUUACCUGACGCUGAGGAGCGAAAGCGUGGGGAGCGAACAGG